UAUUUUUUUUAGAAAUAUUAUUAUUCAGUCAAAUACUCAACACUUGAUGCGAAAGGGUCCUUUCGUACAAUUUCCGCAGCUAUUAUCUAGAAGAUAGAAACCAACCUGGCUCGCGCCGGUUUUAACUCAAAUCAUGUGGGGGUUUAAGAGUCGAACAGACUCUCCAGGGAGCAUGCUGCCACUCCCCGACUCCCCAAUUCAACAUCGAGGUCGUAAGCUCCUCUUCCGAUAGGAUCUCUGGAGAGGAAUAACGCUGUUAUCCCUAAAGUAACUUGUUCUAUGUUUUAAUGAGUUGGUUUAAUUCUUUCACUAAGUUAUUUUAUUGUUUUGAUACCUAAAUAUGCCGCCCCAGCAUAACCCCUAUGAGACUUUCAGUUUCUUGUAAAAUAAAGUAUCACCCGGGGUGAAGUUUUAUAGGGUCUUGUCGUCCCUCUAGGCUAUACAAGCUUUUUCACUUAUAUAUAAAAUUAGGUUUUACUCUUGACAUAGCGUAUUCCUCAUCUAGCCUUUCAUUCUAUUUUACAUUUAAUAAACAAAUUAUUAUGCUACCUUUGCACAGUCAGGAUACUGCGGCCGUUAAAUAACUCACUGGGCAGGCUGGACCUAAGAGGUGUUAGGAGAUGUUUUUGUUAAACAGGUGGGAAAUUUAUUUGCCUAGUUCAUUAAGAGUAUUUUUAUCCUAAGUCUGAUCUUGUUGCUAGGUUAGGUGUAUUAUCUACUAAUAGACUUAUUAUCUUGCUUUGCGGCAAGUAGGAUAGGGGGUGCGGUCUUGAGAAAUCUUAUAUCAUAGUUAAAGUGGAGGGUUAGCUCUUUCUUCUUAUGUUUGUUGUUUUCGUGGUUCGCAGGACAAAUAGUCUUAGCCCUGAUUGCUCUGAGGCAUAAUUAAACCCUCAGGCAUAAUUGAAUUAUAUUCUACCCCAACCAGAUAUAAGAAGACCGUAAGGUAUGUCGCCUCUAGUCUCUAAUUAUAGAUAUCUUUAUUACGAUAACCUUUUAGAGAUUAGCUCUCUUCUUUUCGGGAGAAACUUCUAGUUAUAUUUUAAAUCUCCCUGAUACAAAAGGUAGGCUUAUUUUGUUUUAUGAUUUGGUGUUUCCCUUGCGGUACUGAUAAUUUUCCAUUUGUUUACUUAGGAUAGGCUUGCUUGCGUAUUAUAUGAAAGGACGAGUAGCUGUC
rnacentral:rRNA from 1 species